AGAACGCCAUUUAAAUAAAUCUCAGAAUUAAAUUGAACUUAUUCGACUAAAGGCGACCUAACAGCGUGUGAAUGGAUCAGUCUGGCAUAGCCUUCUUCCUUUUCUGCCGUUUUUACUUCAAUCUUUUGAACCCUUAUGUCUGCAUAGGCGAGAGCAUUCAAGAGGCCCUCGGAGACGAGUAUAUGUUGAGGAGCUAUAUAAAACUGCCAGAACUUCGUCAUGUCGCCAUUCUGCUUGUAUUAGCCUUGAACAUGUUGUUGGAGCAGUAACAAAAAUCCUAUGGAAAAAGCAGAAGCAACUGUGUUGCCUCCAACAACUAUUCUCCACAUUUUUGUUUUAAUAUUUUGCCAUAAUCCUAGUACUCGCUUCCUUUUAAUUCAAAUUUGCUGGCAUAGGAAAUUCUAUAAAAAAUACUUUCGUUUCUAAUACGCAUUUUGAAGGCUGAUCCUGGGAACCCAUUGGACUACACGUGUAACUGAAGAUUAUAUCACAAAAUGAGGAACAACCUCUUGCUCAUACUGGUUUGGCGUUAUGUGGCAUUCCAUGCAAAUCCGUUUGGCUUUAUAAACUCUAAUGUUGACGAGGCGUACGGGAGAGAACCUAUCAUGUGGGAAGGCAACUUUAAGAACUUACGCCAGGCGUAUGAUGUACGCGAAUUAGCUGUGUGUAUAUUAAUAUGUACCUUGAUGCUUUUCGAUUUUUAAGACUUUAUUACUGGGAAAAUUAAACCAACAAAUG